GACGAACGCUGGCGGCGUGCUUAACACAUGCAAGUCGAACGGAAAGGCCCUGCUUUUGUGGGGUGCUCGAGUGGCGAACGGGUGAGUAACACGUGAGUAACCUGCCCUUGACUUUGGGAUAACUUCAGGAAACUGGGGCUAAUACCGGAUAGGAGCUCCUGCUGCAUGGUGGGGGUUGGAAAGUUUCGGCGGUUGGGGAUGGACUCGCGGCUUAUCAGCUUGUUGGUGGGGUAGUGGCUUACCAAGGCUUUGACGGGUAGCCGGCCUGAGAGGGUGACCGGCCACAUUGGGACUGCGAGACGGCGCAGAAGCCUACGGGAGGCAGCAGUGGGGAAUAUUGCGGAAUGGGGGGAAGCCUGAGGCAGCAACGCCGCGUGCGGGAUGACGGCCUUCGGGUUGUAAACAGCUUUCGCCUGUGACGAAGCGGGAGUGACGGUAAUGGGUAAAGAAGCACCGGCUAACUACGUG
rnacentral:rRNA from 1 species